rnacentral:tRNA from 1 species
GCGAGUAUGGCGGAAUGGUAGACGCGCUGUCUUCAGGUGGCAGUGAGCGUAUGCUCGUGGGGGUUCAACUCCCCCUACUCGCACGA